ensembl:lncRNA PMS2P4 PMS1 homolog 2, mismatch repair system component pseudogene 4
GAGGCGGGGCGCCUGUGGGAGUCGUGGAGGGAACUUUCCCAGGCCCCGAGGCGGAUCGGGUAUUGAGUCCAUGGAGCGAGCUGAGAGCUAGAGAACCUGCUAAGGCCAUCAAACCUAUCGAUCGGAAGUCAGUCCAUCAGAUUUGCUCUGGGCCGGUGGUACUGAGUCUAAGCACUGCGGUGAAGGAGUUAGUAGAAAACAGUCUGGAUGCUGGUGCCACCAAUAUUGCGAUGUCACCAUUUCUACCUGCCACGCAUCGGCGAAGGUUGGGACUCGACUGGUGUUUGAUCACGAUGGGAAAAUCAUCCAGAAAACCCCCUACCCCCACCCCAGAGGGACCACAGUCAGCGUGAAGCAGUUAUUUUCUACACUACCUGUGCACCAUAAGGAAUUUCAAAGGAAUAUUAAGAAGACGUGCCUGUUUCCCCUUCGCCUUCUGCCGUGAUUGUCAGUUUCCUGAGGCCUCCCCAGCCAUGCUUCCUGUACAGCCUGCAGAACUGUGAUCUCAGCCCUCCUCCAGGCUUCGAUUAUAACUUACAGGAUUGUGAUUCACACAUUUCAGUUUCCACCACAGGCCCCUCCAGACAUGUCCAUCUGCCUGCUGUGUUGACUUUUCCCUUUGGAGUCUUGAGGCAGCUACAAGCUUACUGACCAGAAAUGAACUCAAGCUCUCCCCGAAGCCUGGUCCUCUUCCAGGAUCAGCCAGCCUGGAAGAUGGCACUGUCAUCCACCCUGUUCUCAGGCCUGCCACCCAGGAGUCAACCUUAGCCCCAUCUAAUUGUCAGAGGCAUCUGAACCACAGCAACUCCAUCUUGAGUAGGGGAUGGGUAAAAUGAGGCUGAGACCUGCUGGGCUGCAUUCCCAGACAGCCAAGGCAUUAGCCACAGGAUAAGAUAGGCGGUCGGUACAAGACACAGGUCAUAAAGACCUUGCUGAUAAAACAGUUGGCAGUAAAGAAGCCAGCCAAAACCCACUAAAACCAAGAUGGCAACGAGAGUGACCUCUGGUCGUCCUCACUGCUACCCUCCCACCAGCACCAUGACAGUUUACAAAUGCCAUGGCAAUGUCAGAAAGUUACCCUAUAGGGUCUAAAAAGGGGAGGCAUGAAUAAUCUACCCCUUGUUUAGCAUAUCAUCAAGAAAUAACCAUAAAAAUAGGCAACCAGCAGCCCUCAGGGAUGCUCUGUCUAUGGAGUAGCCAUUCUUUUGUUCCUUUACUCUCUUAAUAAACUUGUUUUCACUUUA